UACGAAGGGUGCAAACGUUGCUCGGAAUUAUUGGGCGUAAAGCGCACGUAGGCGGCUUAGCAAGUUGGAUGUGAAAUCCCUCGGCUCAACCAAGGAAGUGCAUCCAAAACUGCUGAGCUUGAGUACUUAAGAGGAUCGCGGAAUUCCCGGUGUAGAGGUGAAAUUCGUAGAUAUCGGGAGGAACACCAGUGGCGAAGGCGGCGAUCUGGGAAGAUACUGACGCUGAGGUGCGAAAGCCAGGGGAGCAAACGGG
rnacentral:rRNA from 1 species